rnacentral:rRNA from 1 species
AGAGCAAAUAUUAAGAGUAUACGGUGGAUAGCUAGACAAAACGUGCCGAUGAAGGACGUAGCAGCCUGCGAAAAGCUCCGGCGAGGUGGCAAGCAACCUUUGACCCGGAGAUGUCCGAAUGGGGAAACCCAGCUAGGGGAAUGCCUAGUUACUCUAUACUGAAUACAUAGGUAUAGAGAGGGAACCUAGGGAAGUGAAACAUCUCAGUACCUAGAGGAAAAGAAAAUAAUAUCUACCAAGUAGAAACAUUCCCUGAGUAGUGGCGAACGAAAGGGGAACAGCCCAAACCUUUGCUGUGAAACCUGCCAAAGCAUCUCUUCGGAGACGUGGCGGCAAGGUGAAAGAUACCGGUCGUUGCAGCAUAGGUGUUGUAAGCUUUUGCGUCUAGGUCCGGUGACCUAGGAUGCUUGUAUGACUUCUAGCAGAAGUUGCUGGAAAGCAACGCCAAAGAAGGUGAUAGCCCAGUAUGCGAAAGGGGUUCAUACCAGUAUUGCAAAAAUGCUUGAGUACGGCGGGACACGUGAAAUCCUGUCGGAAUCAUCCGAGACUAUUCGGAAAGGCUAAAUACAUGUUUUGAUCGAUAGUGAACUAGUACCGUGAGGGAAAGCUGAAAAGAACCCCGGAAGGGGAGUGAAAUAGAAUAUGAAACCGUAUACUUACAAGGAGUCGGAGCCCCCACACCUUUCUGAUAAGGCAUAAUUUUAGUAUGUAUUAUCUUUAUGUAUUAAAGAGUCAGAAAGACAAAAAACUUUACUGGGGCUUUACUGGUGAUUUAAAACGGAGAUUUAAUGAACAUCAGGAAGGCCUAGUUACUUCAACCAAGCAUCGUAGACCGCUUGAGCUCGUAUAUUACGAAGCCUAUAGGUCAAAGAGUGAUGCCAUGCAAAGAGAGAGGAAUAUGAAAAAGCAUGGCAACGCUUGGGCUCAGUUGAAGAAGCGAAUCAUGGAUAGUAGCCAUGGAUCAGAAAGGUGUGGGGGUGACGGCGUUCCUAUUGAAGAAUGAGCCAACGAGUUUGUGUAUGUGGCAGGUUAAGUCCUUCGGGAUGGAGCCAGAGUGAAAGCGAGCCUUAACGGGCGUUGGGACCUCAAUCAAAUUCAAGUCGAAAAGAAAGCGAAAUAUUUUGUUCCGGAUGUAGUUGAAGGUCGACGAGGCGAUGCAGUAGCAUCGUCGAGGAGACUUGAAGCUACAGAUGGACACCAUAGCUGCUUUCGGACGCACGUGAAUUUGAUUGAGGUCCCAUAGUCGCAUGUACAAGACCCGAAACCGGGUGACCUAACCAUGUCCAGGGUGAAGCGGGGGUAAAAGCCCGUGGAGGCCCGAACCCACUGGCCGUGCAAAACCAGGGGAUGAGAUGUGGUUAGCGGAGAAAUUCCAA